rnacentral:rRNA from 1 species
GACGAACGCUGGCGGCGUGCUUAACACAUGCAAGUCGAACGGAAAGGCCCUGCUUGCAGUGUACUCGAGUGGCUAACGGGUGAGUAACACGUGGGUGAUCUGCCCUGCACUUCGGGAUAAGCCUGGGAAACUGGGUCUAGUACCUGAUAGAUGCCAGUUUUAGUGUGAUGGUUGGAACGUUUUGUCGGUGUAGGAUGAGCUCGCGGCCUAUCAGCUUGUUGGUGGGGUAAUGGCCGACCAAGGCGGCGACGGGUAGCCGGCCUGAGAGGGUGGACGGGCACAUUGGGACUGAGAGACGGACCAGAAGCCUACGGGAGGCAGCAGUGGGGAAUAUUGCACAAUGGGCGCAAGCGUGAUGCAGCGACGCCGCGUGGGGGAUGACGGCCUGCGGGUUGUAAACUCCUUUCGCUAGGGACGAAGCUCUUUGUGACGGUACCUAGACAAGAAGCACCGGCUAACUACGUG